UACAGAGGGUGCGAGCGUUAAUCGGAAUUACUGGGCGUAAAGAGUGCGUAGGCGGUUCGUUAUGUCUGCUGUGAAAGCCCCGGGCUUAACCCGGGAAUGGCAGUGGAAACUGGCGGGCUUGAGUGUGGCAGAGGGGGGUGGAAUUCCGCGUGUAGCAGUGAAAUGCGUAGAGAUGCGGAGGAACACCGAUGGCGAAGGCAGCCCCCUGGGCUAACACUGACGCUGAGGCACGAAAGCGUGGGGAGCAAACAGG
rnacentral:rRNA from 1 species